CAUAUUUUUUAUGUCAGGAUUCAAUGUAUAAUACAAUGGACAGCAAUAUUGUAAUACAAUAACAACAAAUUUUUGUUCGCAUAAAUUAAGGGUGACAGCAUGUCAUCCUUUUAUUCAAAAUAUUAAUACGUAACAAAAUUACAGUAGUUUUGAUACCUCAUGCUGACUUGUCCGGCAAAAUUAUUUGACCGCAUCAACUUAAACUGACCAUAUGUGCACUUUAAUUUGUAAAUCUAUAUACCCGCAUAGUAAAUCAGCCAUAUUUGUUAUGUCAGGAUUCAAUGUAUAAUAC
rnacentral:lncRNA from 1 species